rnacentral:tRNA from 1 species
UCUCUAGUGGUCCAGUGGUUAGGACUCCACACUUCCACUGGGUGGGGGGGUGGCGGCGGUGCAGGUUCAAUCCCUGGUUGGGGAA